rnacentral:rRNA from 1 species
AUACGGAGGAUCCGAGCGUUAUCCGGAUUUAUUGGGUUUAAAGGGUGCGCAGGCGGCCAUUUAAGUCAGCGGUUAAAUCGUGGGGCUCAACCCCAUUCUGCCGUUGAUACUGGGUGGCUUGAUUGCGGUCGAGGUUGGCGGAAUUCGUUGUGUAGCGGUGAAAUGCAUAGAUAUGACGAAGAACGCCGAUUGCGUAGGCAGCUGACCAGACCGCAAAUGACGCUCAUGCACGAAAGUGCGGGGAUCGAACAGGAUUAGAUACCCUGGUAGUCCGCACAGUAAACGAUGAAUACUUGUUUUCGGCGAUAUAAUGUCGGAGGCAAAGCGAAAGCGAUAAGUAUUCCACCUGGGGAGUACGCCGGCAACGGUGAAACUCAAAUGAAUUGACGGGG